rnacentral:rRNA from 1 species
GACGAACGCUGGCGGCGUGCUUAACACAUGCAAGUCGAGCGGUAAGGCCUUUCGGGGUCCACGCGCGGCGAACGGGUGAGUAACACGUGGGUGAUCUGCCCUGCACUUCGGGAUAAGCCUGGGAAACUGGGUCUAAUACCGGAUAUGACCUCCUAUCGCAUGGUGGGUGGUGGAAAGAUUUAUCGGUGCAGGAUGGGCCCGCGGCCUAUCAGCUUGUUGGUGGGGUAAUGGCCUACCAAGGCGACGACGGGUAGCCGACCUGAGAGGGUGACCGGCCACACGGGGACUGAGACACGGCCCAGACUCCUACGGGAGGCAGCAGUGGGGAAUAUUGCACAAUGGGCGAAAGCCUGAUGCAGCGACGCCGCGUGAGGGAUGACGGCCUUCGGGUUGUAAACCUCUUUCAGCAGGGACGAAGCGCAAGUGACGGUACCUGCAGAAGAAGCACCGGCUAACUACGUG